rnacentral:tRNA from 1 species
GGAGAAAUGGCAGAGUGGUCGAAUGCGGUAGUCUUGAAAACUAUUGAGGGUCACACCUCCGGGGGUUCGAAUCCCUCUUUCUCCGCAA